rnacentral:rRNA from 1 species
UGACGUAGACCCGAAACCAAGUGAUCUACCCAUGUCCAGGUUGAAGGUGCGGUAAAACGCACUGGAGGACCGAACCAGGGCACGUUGAAAAGUGCUUGGAUGAGGUGUGGGUAGCGGAGAAAUUCCAAUCGAACUUGGAGAUAGCUGGUUCUCUCCGAAAUAGCUUUAGGGCUAGCCUCGGAAUGAAGAAUCGUGGAGGUAGAGCACUGUUUGGACUAGGGGCCCAUCUCGGGUUACCGAAUUCAGAUAAACUCCGAAUGCCAUGUAUUUAUGUCCGGGAGUCAGACUGCGAGUGAUAAGAUCCGUAGUCGAAAGGGAAACAGCCCAGACCACCAGCUAAGGUCCCAAAAUAUCUGUUAAGUGGAAAAGGAUGUGGGGUUGCACAGACAACUAGGAUGUUGGCUUAGAAGCAGCCAUCAUUCAAAGAGUGCGUAAUAGCUCACUAGUCGAGUGACCCUGCGCCGAAAAUGUAACGGGGCUAAACAGAUUACCGAAGCUGUGGAUUCAGUCUAUGACUGAGUGGUAGGAGAGCGUUCUAAGGGCGAAGAAGCAUGACCGUAAGGACAUGUGGAGCGCUUAGAAGUGAGAAUGCCGGUAUGAGUAGCGAAAGACGGGUGAGAAUCCCGUCCACCGAAUGACUAAGGUUUCCUGGGGAAGGCUCGUCCUCCCAGGGUUAGUCGGGACCUAAGGCGAGGCCGAAAGGCGUAGUCGAUGGAUAACAGGUUGAUAUUCCUGUACUUCUGUUAAUUGUUUGAGCAAUGGAGGGACGCAGGAGGCUAAGUUGAGCGUACGACUGGAAAUGUACGUCCAAGCAGCGAGUCCGCUGAUGAGUGAAAUGCUUGUCACAUACGGGGUGAGCUGUGAUGGGGAGCGAAAUAUAGUAGCGAAGCAACUGACGUCACACUGCCGAGAAAAGCUUCUAGUGAGAUUAACAGAACCCGUACCGCAAACCGACACAGGUAGUUGAGUGGAGAACACUAAGGUGAGCGAGCGAACUCUCGUUAAGGAACUCGGCAAAAUGACCCCGUAACUUCGGGAGAAGGGGUGCUGGUAGAAAUACCAGCCGCAGUGAAUAGGCCCAGGCGACUGUUUAUCAAAAACACAGGUCUCUGCAAAAUCGAAAGAUGACGUAUAGGGGCUGACGCCUGCCCGGUGCUGGAAGGUUAAGAGGAGAGGU